AUUCCAGCUCCAAUAGCGUAUAUUUAAGUUGUUGCAGUUAAAAAGCUCGUAGUUGGAUUUUGGUUAAGAGGGCGCGGUCGGCCGUUUGGUCUGUACUGCGUCGUCUUGACUUCCUGAUGAGGACAUGCUCUUGGUUAACGCUGAGACAUGGAGUCAUCGUGGUUACUUUGAAAAAAUUAGAGUGUUCAAAGCGGGCUUACGCUUGAAUAUAUUAGCAUGGAAUAACACUAUAGGACUCCUGUCCUAUCUCGUUGGUCUCGGGAUGGGAGUAAUGAUUAAGAGGAACAGUUGGGGGCAUUCGUAUUUCAUUGUCAGAGGUGAAAUUCUUGGAUUUAUGAAAGACGAACUUCUGCGAAAGCAUUUGCCAAGGAUGUUUUCAUUA
rnacentral:rRNA from 1 species